GACGAACGCUGGCGGCGUGCUUAACACAUGCAAGUCGAACGGAAAGGCCCUGCUUUUGUGGGGUGCUCGAGUGGCGAACGGGUGAGUAACACGUGAGUAACCUGCCCUUGACUUUGGGAUAACUUCAGGAAACUGGGGCUAAUACCGGAUAGGAGCUCCUGCUGCGUGGUGGGGGUUGGAAAGUUUCGGCGGUUGGGGAUGGACUCGCGGCUUAUCAGCUUGUUGGUGGGGUAGUGGCUUACCAAGGCUUUGACGGGUAGCCGGCCUGAGAGGGUGACCGGCCACAUUGGGACUGAGAUACGGCCCAGACUCCUACGGGAGGCAGCAGUGGGGAAUAUUGCACAAUGGGCGGAAGCCUGAUGCAGCAACGCCGCGUGCGGGAUGACGGCCUUCGGGUUGUAAACCGCUUUUGCCUGUGACGAAGCGUGAGUGACGGUAAUGGGUAAAGAAGCACCGGCUAACUACGUGCCAGCAGCCGCGGUGAUACGUAGGGUGCGAGCGUUGUCCGGAUUUAUUGGGCGUAAAGGGCUCGUAGGUGGUUGAUCGCGUCGGAAGUGUAAUCUUGGGGCUUAACCCUGAGCGUGCUUUCGAUACGGGUUGACUUGAGGAAGGUAGGGGAGAAUGGAAUUCCUGGUGGAGCGGUGGAAUGCGCAGAUAUCAGGAGGAACACCAGUGGCGAAGGCGGUUCUCUGGGCCUUUCCUGACGCUGAGGAGCGAAAGCGUGGGGAGCGAACAGGCUUAGAUACCCUGGUAGUCCACGCUGUAAACGGUGGGUACUAGGUGUGGGGUCCAUUCCACGGGUUCCGUGCCGUAGCUAACGCUUUAAGUACCCCGCCUGGGGAGUACGGCCGCAAGGCUAAAACUCAAAGGAAUUGACGGGGCCCCGCACAAGCGGCGGAGCAUGCGGAUUAAUUCGAUGCAACGCGUAGAACCUUACCUGGGUUUGACAUGGAUCGGGAGUGCUCAGAGAUGGGUGUGCCUCUUUUGGGGUCGGUUCACAGGUGGUGCAUGGCUGUCGUCAGCUCGUGUCGUGAGAUGUUGGGUUAAGUCCCGCAACGAGCGCAACCCUUGUUCACUGUUGCCAGCACGUUAUGGUGGGGACUCAGUGGAGACCGCCGGGGUCAACUCGGAGGAAGGUGGGGAUGACGUCAAGUCAUCAUGCCCCUUAUGUCCAGGGCUUCACGCAUGCUACAAUGGCUGGUACAGAGAGUGGCGAGCCUGUGAGGGUGAGCGAAUCUCGGAAAGCCGGUCUCAGUUCGGAUUGGGGUCUGCAACUCGACCUCAUGAAGUCGGAGUCGCUAGUAAUCGCAGAUCAGCAACGCUGCGGUGAAUACGUUCCCGGGGCU
rnacentral:rRNA from 1 species